UCAAGUUAUUAAGGGUGCAGGGCGAAUGCCUUGGCACUAGGAGCCGAUGAAGGACGUGAUAAGCUGCGAUAAGCUUCGGGGAGUUGCACGUAAACUUUGAUCCGAAGAUUUCCGAAUGAGGAAACUCACUUAGAGUAAUGUCUAAGUAUCGUAUGAUGAAUACAUAGUCAUGCGAGGGGAACCCGGAGAACUGAAACAUCUAAGUACCCGGAGGAAGAGAAAGAAAUUCGAUUCCGUAAGUAGCGGCGAGCGAACGCGGAACAGGCCAAACCAGUGAAGUUUUCUUCGCUGGGGUUGCGGACAUAUCAUAACGAAGAGGUAUCGUAGAAGAAGAGAGUUGGAAAGCUCCGCCACAGAUGGUAACAGCCCAGUAUUUUAAACGAGAAGACUUUAGAUAUGAUCCAGAGUACCACGGGACACGUGAAACCCUGUGGGAAGCAGGAGGGACCAUCCUCCAAGCCUAAAUACUACCUAGUGACCGAUAGCGUAUAGUACCGUGAGGGAAAGGUGAAAAGAACCCCGGGAGGGGAGUGAAAGAGAACCUGAAACCCUGCACUUACAAGCUGUAGGAGCACAUUAUUUGUGUGACUGCGUACUUUUUGUAGAACGGGCCAACGAGUUACGUUGUGUAGCAAGGUUAAGCACUUAAGGUGUGGAGCCGUAGCGAAAGCGAGUCUUAAAUGGGCGUCCAGUUACCCGACGUAGACCCGAAACCAGGCGACCUAUCCAUGAGCAGGUUGAAGCGAAAGUAAAAUUUCGUGGAGGACCGAACCCACGAGCGUUGAAAAGCUCGGGGAUGACUUGUGGAUAGCGGUGAAAUUCCAAUCGAGCCCGGAGAUAGCUGGUUCUCCCCGAAAUAGCUUUAGGGCUAGCCUCAAGCGUAGAGAAACGGAGGUAGAGCACUGAAUGUCCUAGGGGGUAUUGCACUUACCGAAGACUAUCAAACUCCGAAUGCCGUAUUCUUUUGCUUGGGAGUCAGACUAUGGGUGAUAAGAUUCAUAGUCAAGAGGGCAACAGCCCAGAUCGUCAGCUAAGGUCCCUAAAUGUAAGUUAAGUGGUAAAGGAUGUGGAAUUGCACAGACAACCAGGAUGUUGGCUUAGAAGCAGCCACUCAUUUAAAGAGUGCGUAAUAGCUCACUGGUCGAGUGAUUCUGCGCCGAAAAUUUCCGGGGCUAAAACUUACUACCGAAGCUACGGCAUCAUUAUGAUGGGUAGGGGAGCUUUCUAUGCGGCUUGAAGCAUGACCGUAAGGACAUGUGGACUGCAUAGAAGUGAGAAUGUUGGCAUGAGUAGCGAGAUGUGGGUGAGAAUCCCACAGGCCGUAAACCCAAGGUUUCCAGGGGAAGGUUCGUCCGCCCUGGGUUAGUCAGGACCUAAGCCGAGGCCGAAAGGCGUAGGUGAUGGACAACAGGUUGAUAUUCCUGUACCACCAAUAACCGUUUGAGAAAUGGGAUGACACAGUAGGAUAAGCUAACCGCACUGUUGGUUAUGUGCGGGCAAGUAUUGAGGCAGUUCCGAUAGGCAAAUCCGUCGGAAUAAUGCUGGGGUACGAUGCGGAGCGAAAUUUAGUAGCGAAGUAGCUGAUUUCACACUGUCGAGAAAAGUCUCUAUCGAGGUUAAAGGUGCCUGUACCGCAAACCGACACAGGUGGGUGAGGAGAGUAUCCUAAGGCCAGCGAGAGAACUGUUGUUAAGGAACUCGGCAAAAUGACCCCGUAACUUAGGGAGAAGGGGUGCCUUCGAAAGAAGGCCGCAGAGAAUAGGCCCAAGCGACUGUUUACCAAAAACAUAGGUUUCUGCUAAGUCGCAAGACGAUGUAUAGGAGCUGACGCCUGCCCGGUGCUGGAAGGUUAAGGGGAUCUGUUAGAGCAAUCGAAGCAGUGAACUUAAGCCCCAGUAAACGGCGGCCGUAACUAUAACGGUCCUAAGGUAGCGAAAUUCCUUGUCGGGUAAGUUCC
rnacentral:rRNA from 1 species